GGCCUCAGCAGGUCCUUCUGGUGGCAAUGGGGCAAGGCCAAAUGGCCAGGGUGGAGCUGGAAGUAAACCCAUGAAAGGAUAUGGCCGACCACCUUAUGGCGCAGGUCCAGGUGUGGGGAUGGGAGGCUCCAGAGGUCUUGGAGUACCUCAGCUUGCCAGGAACCAAGGGAC